ACGGGCCCCGCACAAGCAGCGGAGCGUGUGGUUUAAUUCGAUGCUACACGAAGAACCUUACCAGGGUUUGACAUGCAAGUGGUAGGAAACCGAAAGGUGACCGACCCUUCGGGAGCUUGCACAGGUGCUGCAUGGCUGUCGUCAGCUCGUGUCGUGAGAUGUUCGGUUAAGUCCGCUAACGAGCGCAACCCUCGCUGUGUGUUAUAUGUGUCACACGGGACUGCCGGUCUUAAGCCGGAGGAAGGUGGGGAUGAUGUCAAGUCAGCAUGGCCUUUAUAUCCUGGGCUACACACACGCUACAAUGGCCAGCACAGUAGGUUGCUAAGCCGCGAGGUGGAGCCAAUCCAUAAAGCUGGUCUCAGUUCAGAUUGCAGGCUGCAACCCGCCUGCAUGAAGAUGGAGUUGCUAGUAACCGCAGGUCAGCUAUACUGCGGUGAAUACGUUCCCGGGGCUU
rnacentral:rRNA from 1 species